AUGCCGCGGUGAAUACGUUCCCGGGCCUUGUACACACCGCCCGUCACACCACGAGAGUUUGUAACACCCGAAGUCGGUGGGGUAACCUUUAUGGAGCCAGCCGCCUAAGGUGGGACAGAUGAUUGGGGUGAAGUCGUAACAAGGUAGCCGUAUCGGAAGGUGCGGCUGGAUCACCUCCUUU
rnacentral:rRNA from 1 species